rnacentral:sRNA from 1 species
CCUCCUUAUGCACGAUAACGCUCGUUGU